CAUCUCUCUCCAUACGUCUCUUUGUUUUGGGCAGCUUCUAGACCGUUCUUUCUGGGCUGCUCUCUCUCACGCCCUUGUUCCCUGGUUUCUCCCUUAUCAGGCAAAAUGAGUAGCCGCAUGAGCAGAACUGUUUAUGUUGGCAAUCUUCCUGGUGAUAUUCGUGAAAGAGAAGUUGAGGAUCUCUUUUACAAGUAUGGCCGUAUUGUGGAUAUUGAUCUGAAAAUUCCUCCAAGGCCUCCUGGUUAUGCCUUUGUGGAGUUUGAAGAUUAUCGUGAUGCUGAAGAUGCCAUUCGUGGUCGGGAUGGAUACAAUUUUGAUGGGCAUCGCUUACGUGUUGAAUUUGCACAUGGUGGGCGAGGAUCAUCAUCUGUUGAUCGCUACAGCAGUUACAGUGGAGGUAGUGGUCGAGGUGGAGUUUCUAGGCGGUCUGACUAUCGUGUUUUGGUAACUGGACUUCCUUCUUCUGCUUCAUGGCAAGACCUGAAGGAUCACAUGCGGAGAGCUGGGGAUGUCUGUUUCUCACAAGUUUUCCGUGAUCGUGAUGGUAUGAGAGGAAUUGUAGACUAUACAAAUUCUGAAGACAUGAAAUAUGCGAUCAGAAAACUUGAUGACUCUCUCUUUCGGAAUCAAUUUUCUCGGGCUUAUAUAAGGGUCAUGGCGUAUGAUUCAAGACGUAGCUACUCAAGGAGUCCCAGCCGUAGUCCAUAUGAUUCAAGACGCAGCUACUCAAGGAGUCCCAGCCGUAGCCCUUACUAUUCAAGACGCAGCUACUCAAGGAGUCCUAGUCGCAGCUGUAGCUAUAAUACCAGGGACAGCAUGUCUCCUAGAGCCAAAUAUUCUAAUCGCUCUACACGUAGAUCCCGUUCAAGGUCUGUUUCGUCACAACAUCAUUCUGAUUCAUCACAGCGCUCUGUCUCAAGAUCCGGCUCUUCGAGGAGAUCUGGAAUUGCAUGUUAGGGACUUGGUGGGAUAUGGUGCUCAAAUUCCUGCAACUCAUUUGGUUGUGGAGGUAUGCUAUUUUGUCAAUGGGUACCUCUGGCAAAACCUUGAUGUUACACUAAUUCUAAUAUGUUAUUCAUGGUGGAACCCUUGGAUGCUAGACUUAAUAAGUAAAGUUGCCGAUUUUGAUUUAUAGCUGGAUUACUAUGAAGUGCUAGUGGUACCACAACCCUAAGUGAGCAGUAUGAACAAUUCGACAUCUGUUCAACGUCUUACCUCUUGUAGGGCUUGCCCUGUGGAUCUCAAUUUGGAAUGCGAUCAUACAAAUGGGAAUGGUGUUCUUGAUUUUUCUCAUUGUGUUAUAUAAUGUGGUGCGUCAAUUCUGGUCUUCUCUUGAUUUGGCUGGUCUGGCUUGACCUGCUGGGUGAAAAUCAUUGUCGUAAUGAUCUAAAUCAAGGUCCAGAUCUCCAUUGCCAUCGCCUCCUCGGCAAAAGCUGGUGACUAGAAGCCCAGUACGCAGCCCCAGCGGGAGCAGGAGCAUUUCUCAGUCCCCUUCACCUGUGAGAUCGGGUUAAGGAAGAGGCUCGCUCGAGUAGUAUCCCCAGAGAAUCAAGUUUCUAAUAGACCACUCUGAGAUGUUAUUUAUAGAAACCCAGUUCCCUAUAGAAAAGAACUCGUCAGCGGCAUCCGCACGUUGGAUUUCGAACUCUCAUAUUAGCUGGGAGCAUUGACUUAUACUGCGAUUAAACUAUGUUCUCUUGUCUGUUCGGUAGUGCUUGUUGUAGACCUUGUGUGCCUUGUUUACUUUUGGUAGUGAUAUCUCCUUUUAUGCUCCCGCUUCUAAGUGGAUUGUUACUAAUAAAACAGAUUCAGGCUGCAAUGGGCUAGGAAUGAUUACUUGGGUUUGCUUA